AUUGAACUCGCUGUGAAGAUGCAGUGUACCCGCGGCAAGACGGAAAGACCCCGUGAACCUUUACUAUAGCUUGACACUGAACAUUGAGCCUUGAUGUGUAGGAUAGGUGGGAGGCUUUGAAGUGUGGACGCCAGUCUGCAUGGAGCCGACCUUGAAAUACCACCCUUUAAUGUUUGAUGUUCUAACGUGGACCCGUGAUCCGGGUUGCGGACAGUGUCUGGUGGGUAGUUUGACUGGGGCGGUCUCCUCCUAAAGAGUAACGGAGGAGCACGAAGGUUGGCUAAUCCUGGUCGGACAUCAGGAGGUUAGUGCAAUGGCAUAAGCCAGCUUGACUGCGAGCGUGACGGCGCGAGCAGGUGCGAAAGCAGGUCAUAGUGAUCCGGUGGUUCUGAAUGGAAGGGCCAUCGCUCAACGGAUAAAAGGUACUCCGGGGAUAACAGGCUGAUACCGCCCAAGAGUUCAUAUCGACGGCGGUGUUUGGCACCUCGAUGUCGGCUCAUCACAUCCUGGGGCUGAAGUAGGUCCCAAGGGUAUGGCUGUUCGCCAUUUAAAGUGGUACGCGAGCUGGGUUUAGAACGUCGUGAGACAGUUCGGUCCCUAUCUGCCGUGGGCGCUGGAGAACUGAGGGGGGCUGCUCCUAGUACGAGAGGACCGGAGUGGACGCAUCACUGGUGUUCGGGUUGUCAUGCCAAUGGCACUGCCCGGUAGCUAAAUGCGGAAGAGAUAAGUGCUGAAAGCAUCUAAGCACGAAACUUGCCCCGA
rnacentral:rRNA from 1 species